rnacentral:tRNA from 1 species
GCCUGAGUGGCUUAGUCGGUUAAGCGUCUGACUUCAGCUCAGGUCGUGAUCUCACAGUUUGUGAGUUCGAGCCCCGCGUCCGGCU